GCCGGUGUAGCUCAGCUGGCAGAGCAAUCGCCUUGUAAGCGAUAGGUCGGGGGUUCGAGUCCCCCCGCCGGCUCCA
rnacentral:tRNA from 1 species